rnacentral:lncRNA from 1 species
GCCAGAUACAGUAGCUGAAGCAGGUCUGGGGGAGCCGAAGCAAGCCAAAACCGCAUGAAGAGGCUCCUCUGUGGCUUUGCGCGCAGAGAGGAGGAAAACUUUCAAAAUCACUGAAGGCUUAGGUCAAGACUGAAGAGCAACCAGCCACGUGGAUUCCUUGCUUUUGGGGUGAGGCAAAGCCACUUUAAGGAUUCUGGGAUAUGCGACAGCCAAGAAACACUUUCAGUUCCACCGUCCACUGAGAGCCAUCGCUGGGUCAUAUGGCGGGGACCACGUAAAGCCUGAGAGGAAAGCAGACCACCGGC